ACAACAAGAUAAACCCUGUAGUUGGAGAGAGAGAGAGAGCUAUGUUUGAAGCUACAAGGAGGGCACAAACAGGAGAAUCAAGUACAGACAUGAUAGAAUACCCGCUGCUCUUCGUCCUGAACCCACCUGAUCAGUUUCUAAGAUAUCAAUAUCAAGACCCCAUAAAAUGGAGUUUCAGAGCAGCAGUAAAACCAGAAGAAGAGGAAGACCCACAAGCCCUAAUCUCCAAAACAAGAAGAAUUCUAACAAAGAUUCCACCUUUUCUUCCUCUGCUGCUAGUAACAUGAAUAACAACAACACCAGCAACGCAACUAUGGCUCAGUACAAUGCUGAUGCUAAGCUCAUGGCUGAGUUUGAACUGUCUGGUGUCUCUGGUAAGUCCUUUAAUUAUUCAAGAUCAGUUCUUUAUGCACCUCAGGAUAAUGCUAAUGAAGAAGAAAUCACUUCUUAUCUUUCAAGAAUUCAAAGGGGUGGGCUUGUUCAACCAUUUGGUUGUGUGCUUGCUAUUGAGGAACAUACUUUCAAGAUUAUAGGUUACAGUGAGAAUUGCUUUGAUAUGUUAGGUUUUAAGAUUGCUGAGUCAUCAAAGUUGAUUACUUUGAUUGGUGUUGAUGCUAGAACCCUUUUCACCCCUUCUUCUGGGGCUUCAUUGGCUAAAGCCAUGACCUCUAGGGAAAUUUCUUUGUUGAACCCUAUAUGGGUUCAUUCUAGGAGUACCCAUAAGCCCUUUUAUGCUAUACUUCACAGGAUUGAUGUGGGGAUUGUGAUUGAUUUAGAGCCUGCUAAUUCUAGUGACCCUGCAUUGCUGCUUGCUGGGGCUGUGCAGUCACAAAAACUGGCUGUCCGGUCGAUAUCUAGGUUGCAAUCACUACCUGGUGGAGAUAUAGGGGUUCUGUGUGAUACGGUGGUGGAAGAUGUGCAGAAGCUGACUGGAUAUGAUAGGGUCAUGGUUUAUAAGUUCCAUGAUGAUAAUCAUGGUGAAGUUUUGUCUGAGAUUAGGAGAUCAGACUUGGAACCUUAUUUGGGCUUGCAUUAUCCUGCAACAGAUAUUCCGCAAGCUGCUCGGUUCUUGUUCAAGCAGAACAGAAUUAGGAUGAUAUGUGAUUGCAAUGCACAGCCUGUUAAGAUUGUUCAGAGUGAAGAACUGAAGCAGCCUCUCUGCUUGGUAAAUUCGACUCUUAGAUCACCUCAUGGCUGCCAUACACAGUAUAUGGCCAACAUGGGAUCUAUUUCGUCGUUGGUGAUGUCAGUAGUUAUCAAUAGCAGUGAUUCGAGAAAGCUUUGGGGUUUGGUUGUUUGUCAUCACAGUACUCCCCGCUAUGUGCCUUUCCCACUUCGGUAUGCAUGUGAAUUCUUCAUGCAGGCAUUUGGGCUGCAGCUUCAUAUGGAGCUCCAGUUGGCAUCACAGUUGGCCGAGAAGAAAACUCUCCAAAUGCAGACCUUAUUAUGUGACAUGCUUCUUCGAGAUGUUCCAUUUGGCAUUGUAACACAAUCCCCUAGUAUUAUGGAUCUUGUCAAGUGCGAUGGAGCUGCACUUUAUUACGGUGGAAAAUGUUGGUUGCUUGGGGUGACACCAACUGAAGCACAAGUUAAAGAUAUUGCAGAGUGGUUACUAGUUGCUCACAAGGACUCGACAGGUUUAAGUACGGACAGUCUUGCAGAUGCUGCUUAUCCUGGUGCAGCUUUACUGGGAGAUGAAGUUUGUGGCAUGGCUACUGCGAGAAUUACUUCCGAGGAUUUCCUAUUCUGGUUCAGGUCUCACACAGCAAACGAAGUCAAGUGGGGAGGUGCUAAGCAUCAUCCAGACGAUAAAGAUGAUGGAGGAAAAAUGCACCCACGAUCUUCAUUUAAUGCCUUUCUUGAAGUGGUUAAAAGUAGAAGUAUGCCUUGGGAUGUUCCGGAGAUUAACGCCAUUCAUUCUCUACAAAUCAUAAUGAGAGAAUCAAUUCAAGAAAUUGAGAACAGUUCUCUGAAAACUAUGACCUCUUCUCAACAGAAUGAUGCUGAUGGUCCAAGCAUGGAUGAACUUAGUUCUGUGGCAAUGGAAAUGGUUAGGUUGAUUGAGACGGCCACUGCUCCAAUUUUUGGAGUUGAUCCAUCUGGCUUAAUAAAUGGAUGGAAUGGGAAGAUUGCUGACUUGACAGGGUUGCAAGCUAGUGAAGCUAUUGGAAAGUCUCUCAUUAAUGAUAUUGCUCAUGAAGAUUCACAUGAAACUGUUGAAAAAGUUCUACAUAGAGCUCUGUUAGGUAUUUCUUUUUAGCCUUAAUAGUUAUCAUCAUAAUUUGGAAACAUACUUUACAUCCGAUGGCUAUAAUUUUCUAAUAUGUGUNCAAGCAGGGACCACAAAAAUGAUGUUGUUGGCGUGUGCUUUGUGGCUCAAGAUGUCACUCCUGAGAAAGCUGUCAUGGAUAAAUUUAUUCAGUUGCAAGGAGAUUAUGAGGCUAUUGUACAAAGCCUUAAUCCACUGAUUCCACCAAUAUUUGCUUCUGAUGAAAAUGCUUGCUGUUCGGAGUGGAAUGCAGCGAUGGAAAGGUUGACCGGUUGGACAAGAUAUGAGAUCCUGGGGAGGACACUUCCUGGUGAAGUUUUUGGUGGUCUUUGUCGCCUUAGGGGACAAGAUGCCCUUACCAAAUUUAUGAUUCUUUUCUACCAAGCAAUCAGUGGCCAUGACACCAAAAGGCUUCCAUUUGGCUUUUUUAAUAGGACAGGGGAGUUUGUGGAAGUGUUCCUUACAGCAAACAAGAGAACUGAUGAGCAUGGGAAUAUAAUUGGGUGUUUCUGCUUCUUGCAGCCUACACUGGUUGACCCAGAGGCAUCGGAUGAGAGACAAGACAAUAAAGAAUCCCUUUCAAAAAUUAAAGAAUUUUCAUAUAUCAGACAGCAGAUGAAAAAUCCAUUGAAUGGGAUCCAGUUUACCCAUAAACUCCUUGAAGCCACCUGUGUUUCAGAUAAUCAGAAGCAGCUUCUGGAGACAAGUGAAGCCUGUGAGAAACAGAUACUAUCUGUUAUUGACAAUAUGGAUUUUGGAAGUAUAGAGGACGGCAAAGUGGAGCUAAACAUGGAGGAAUUCGUUCUAGGAAAUGUUGUGGAUGCUAUCGUGAGUCAAGUAAUGAUUUUGCUCAAGGAAAAGAACUUACAGCUGCUGCAUGAUAUCCCUGACCAGAUCAAAACUCUUCCUCUAUAUGGUGAUCAAAUUAAGCUUCAGCUUAUUCUCUCAGAUUUCUUGCUUAGUGUAGUUCAUCAUGCACCUUCCCCUGAUGGUUGGGUGGAAAUCAAGGUGUUACCUGGUCUGAAACUCAUACAAGAUGGAAAUGAAUGUAUCCGUCUCCAAUUCAGAAUGACUCACCCUGGCCAAGGACUACCUGCUGCUCUAAUCGAAGACAUGUCUGGAGGAAGAAAUAGAGGGACAACACAGGAAGGAAUCGCGUUAAAUUUUUCCCAGAAGCUUGUCAAUACGAUGAAUGGACUUGUCCGCUAUGUUAGAGAAGAAAAUAAAUGUUAUUUCCUAAUAGACCUGGAACUCAAAACAGGGAAAUCUACACAACAUGGUCCAGAUUCGGAUGGAACUGAAAAAAUGGAAAUUUAGACAUGUUCCAAAUUUUGAUGCAGGUAGAAUGUCCUAAGUUAUAUUUAAUGGUACAUCCUAACUCUCCUCUGCAGAUCAGUUUUUUUUUUAAAGUAUUUUUAUGGCAAUAAGUAUAAAUUCUAGAGCCCGCAGAGCCUUGGAGUUGAUUCUGAUUCUCCUGCCUUGUACAUAUUAUCAGCAGCAUAGGAUAUUAUCUUUUCAUGUGGUGGUUAUUUAUGUAAAUGGCAAUGCUGUAUAUUAUUUGUAUUAGAAUGCUCUAAAAUUAUCUUCUCAAUAAAAGGCUUCAAAAGCUGUUUUCCUGAA